CAUUGGUUCUAUUUUGUUGGUUUCUAGGACCGAAGUAAUGAUUAAUAGGGAUAGUUGGGGGCAUUAGUAUUUAAUUGUCAGAGGUGAAAUUCUUGGAUUUAUGAAAGACUAACUUCUGCGAAAGCAUUUGCCAAGGAUGUUUUCAUUAAUCAAGAACGAAAGUUAGGGGAUCGAAGAUGAUCAGAUACCGUCGUAGUCCUAACCAUAAACUAUGCCGACUAGGGAUUGGUAGAUGUUAAUUAUAUGACUCUAUCAGCACCUUAUGAGAAAUCAAAGUCUUUGGGUUCCGGGGGGAGUAUGGUCGCAAGGCUGAAACUUAAAGGAAUUGACGGAAGGGCACCACCAGGAGUGGAGCCUGCGGCUUAAUUUGACUCAACACGGGGAAACUCA
rnacentral:rRNA from 1 species